AACGCACAUUGCGCUCCCUGGUAUUCCGGGGAGCAUGCCCGUUUCAGAAUCAUUAAAAUCUCACAAGCCCUGGUUUACGCUCGCGGAAACCGGGGGGAAGUGGAUGUGGGUGCCCUUGCAAGCCUGGCUUGCGAUGCAUCUAUAAAUGAUUGUGACGUGCGCCAAUUGUCGUGUCAACUGGUCGUCCGAAGCGCAACAGAUUCAUCUAUUCGUUUUGGUCAUCAGCUGGCUGACUUGGAGGCAUGGGACUCAACUUGUCGACCGGGGCCCUGCAGUUUGCAGAGCUCGCUGAUAACUUGGUCUGAAAUCGGGCAAGAAAACCCGCUGAACUUAA
rnacentral:misc_RNA from 1 species